AUACGGAGGGUACGAACGUUAAUCGGAAUUACUGGGCGUAAAGCGCGCGUAGGUGGUUCGGUAAGUGGGAUGUGAAAGCCCUGGGCUCAACCUGGGAAUGGCAUUCGAUACUGCAGAGCUAGAGUAUGGUAGAGGGAAGUGGAAUUUCCGGUGUAGCGGUGAAAUGCGUAGAUAUCGGAAGGAACACCAGUGGCGAAGGCGACUUCCUGGGCCAAUACUGACACUGAGGCGCGAAAGCGUGGGGAGCAAACAGGAUUAGAAACCCCGGUAGUCC
rnacentral:rRNA from 1 species